GAUCAGGCUCAGGACGAACGCUGGCGGCGUGCCUAACACAUGCAAGUCGAACGGGGCUAGGAAAGCUUGCUUUCCGAAGCCUAGUGGCGGACGGGUGAGUAACGCGUGAGUAACCUGCCUUUCAGAGGGGAAUAACGUUCUGAAAAGAACGCUAAUACCGCAUAACGUACAGUUACCGCAUGGUAGCAGUACCAAAGGAGCAAUCCGCUGAGAGAUGGACUCGCGUCCGAUUAGCUAGUUGGUGGGGUAAAGG
rnacentral:rRNA from 1 species